AUGAGGAAGCAAAAGAAAAUGAGGAACUAUACAACCAUGAAGCAAACGCUUAGUCUCAGAGAUCAGAGGCUUAAAGAAAAGGAUAGAUUAAAACCUAAAGAGAAAGAAAAGAAGGAUCCCAGCGCGUUAAAGGAAAGAGAAGUUCCGCAACACCUUUCCUGAUUAUUUUGCCAAUAUAAUACACAGCUGGGCCCACCUUACCACAUCCUCGUUGAUACCAACUUUAUCAACUUUUCCAUAAAAGCCAAACUGGACUUAGUGCAGUCAAUGAUGGGCUGUCUGCAUGUCAAGUGUAUCCCUUGUAUAACUGAUUGUGUAAUGGCUGAAAUUGAGAAAUUGGGGCAGAAGUAUUGAGUGGCUCUAAGGAUCGCCAAGGAUCCAAGAUUUGAACAAUUACCAUGUACACACACAGGAACCUAUGCACAUGACUGCUUAGUACAGAGAGUAACUCAGCCUAAGUGUGUGUAAGUGUUACAUUGUGCCCACAGUUGACCGGGACUACCGGGACCUUAAAAGAAGAAUCCAUAAGAUUCCUGGAAUUCCUAUCAUGUAUAUUUC
rnacentral:lncRNA from 10 species